UACGGAGGGUGCAAGCGUUAUCCGGAUUCACUGGGUUUAAAGGGUGCGUAGGCGGGUUGGUAAGUCCGUGGUGAAAAUCCCCCAAGCUUAACUUGGGAACUGCCGUGGAUACUAUCAAUCUUGAAUAUCGUGGAGGUAAGCGGAAUAUGUCAUGUAGCGGUGAAAUGCUUAGAUAUGACAUAGAACACCAAUUGCGUAGGCAGCUUACUACACGAUCAUUGACGCUGAGGCACGAAAGCGUGGGGAGCAAACAGG
rnacentral:rRNA from 1 species